rnacentral:rRNA from 1 species
UGAGUAACACGUAGAUAAUCUACCCAGGUGUUUGGAAUAACUAACCGAAAGGUUAGCUAAUACCGAAUACGUUCACAUCACCGCAAGGUAGUGUGAAGAAAGAUGGCCUCUCCUUGGAAGCUAUCGCAUUUGGAUGAGUUUGCGUACCAUUAGCUAGUUGGUGGGGUAAGAGCCUACCAAGGCUACGAUGGUUAGCGGGUCUGAGAGGAUGAUCCGCCACACUGGAACUGGAACACGGACCAGACUCC